CAUCAACUUUGAUUGGGUUGCUGAAACAAUAAUUAAGCCUUUGUUAACUGAUUAUCAUCAAGUCGCUAUUUGAUAGCGCGCACCAACCGGCAACGCAGCAUAAAAUGGCAUUUGCGUGAUAUUUUGAGGUUAUGUUAAAAAUUUACGUUUUGAUUCGUUGUUUUGUGGUGAAUUGGUGCGGCCUUCGUCGGUGUUUUUGAGGUGUGUUAUCUCUUAAAAACAUUCAAGAUGAGCAGCUCCAGUUCAAAAGCACCUAAGAGAUCGAAAAAUUUCACCGGGCACGAGAAAAGCGAAUUAACCCAAAUAAUUCAAAGGUCGCCAUGAUAUUUUCAUCAUCAUCCAGGCGCUCGACCCAGUGCUGCCGCGUCGACAAAUAUAUUUUCCUUUUGGACUAUAUCAACAUAAUAUAACAUUUCAAGAUAACUGUGGUUGAAAAAUUAAAAAGGACACCGAGUAUUAUUAUUUGAAGUAAUAUAGUACUGCAAAAGUAGUAUUAUUAUCAGCUGUGAAUACUCCUUACGCGACGCACUGGUGAUGGACUACAUCAAAGAGUCCCCACUGCUCGCCGUAAAACACACCUUACUUCAACUGGGGGACUGCAGCAGUAAGAUAUAAUUCCGCGUACUCACCAUCAUCAAAUGCAGAUCAUCAUAUUGGUUACUAUCGACAAUGUUGGAAAUCGCCAGUUUAAAACUCAAUAGCACCUUUCAAUUGUGUUUCUGAUAACUUUGUGAUGUUUCCUCAGCUCGAUUUCUAGAGUUAACGAAAGAUGUGAGAAGGUAUCUCUUGCAGGUGUAACCACUAUCUCCAAGAAGAUAUCCUGUUUUAAUUCAUCAUGGACAGAUCCUGGCCAACGGACUAGUAUGUGGCGAAAUAUUUGCGUCACAUCUUGAGAUUAUGUUAAAUAUUUGUGAUCGUUAAUGGUGGAAGUUAAAGUUUGUUGUUGUUCUUGGGCUACUGUUCCUCUGAAAAUUGUUCACGAUGGAUAGUACCAAAGUUAUGGAAAGGUCGAAAAAUUUCACAGCCCAUCAAAAAACUCAGUACAAAUAAUUCUGAGAUAUGCCCAUAUAUUAGAAAACAGAUGCAGUUUCUGUACAAGAAGAGAAUGUUGCUGAGAGAUCAUGUAAGACGAAUUCAAUGUUACCAUCAUUGAGGGGCCUAGGGAUGUUCAGACUAUCAAAAUUCGACACAAAACUUAAAAAAGGAAAGGGCUGAAAAAAUUAAGUUACAAGCUGGAUCUACAAUAUUUUUAUACAAUGUGGUUAUUAAUUUUUAGAAGGAAGCGUUUAUUUCUAUUAAAACAGACAACAGGGAUGAAGGUAUGAGUGCAGACGUGGGUGAUGGUGAGCUGGAAAUGACAAAUAAAUAUAAUAGAUGAAGAUUUGAUUUUUUACAAAAAAAAGGUGAAAAAAAACAGAUACAGCACAAUACUUCGGAAAUCCUGAACCUCAUAGCCCUGCCUCCUCCAUUCCGAACGAGAAAAAUAAAAUCCCCCUUUCCAAGAAAAACAGUGUAAUAAAAAAUAAAAAAUAUACAAAUGAAAAUAAUUUUUAGUGAAUUUGCAAAAUAAACACAAACAAAAACUUUCAAAAAGGCUUACAAUUAAAAUAUUUGCAGAUUAAAAAAGUAGAAAUCGAAUUGGAAAAUUCAAAUUCAAUAAUUGGAAAUCGAAGAGUUUUUUUUUAGUUUUAUAAUAAUCAUUAUUAAACAUUUUUGUUAAACUCUUUCUGCAAAUAUAGUAUUUACAAGGUGAGUUCUCAUAGCAAAAUUUCCUUCCAUGGGGUCACCACCUAUGACUUCAUCGUCUUCCUCAAUUUCAAGGUGAUCUUCUGGCCAGUCAUCUUUAAAAAUAAUUGCCAGGUUAUGCAAAAUUGCACAGGCGACGAUUGCCAUCAUAUUAGUUUUCAUUUUUAGUCGCAAUCCCAUAGACAAAGCUGGAAAGCGACGUUUCAAAACUCCAAAACACCUUUCAACUGUGUUUCUGGUCGCUUUGUGGGAAGCAUUAUAUGCUUCCUCAGCCCUGUUUCUUGGAUUAAUGAAGGGCGUCAAAAGAUAUCUUUUGCAUGCGUAGCCACUGUCUCCAAGAAGAUAUCCAGCGCCAUACAUGCCUCGUUCUAAUUCAGGAGGUAACGGACAGUCAUUAAAAAUGGUGGAAUCGUGGACAGAUCCUGGCCAGCGAGCUAUGAUAUGUCGUAUUUGAAGCUCCGCGUCACAAACUACUUGGACAUUGAGCGAAAAAAAACCUUUUCGGCAUCUAUAAGUUUCAGCCAAGUGUCCACCUGGCGAUUGGAUUGGUAUAUGCGUACCGUCUAUUGCCCCUAUGACACACGGAAAACCCCGGAUUUCGAAGAAUUUUCUAUGUAUUGUUGGUAUUUCUUGCAAGUCGAUAUCGUCGUACCUAUCGAAAGGAUCGGACCUGUCUCGAAAAAUUCGAGGUCUUCUAGGAACAGGAACAUCGGAAUCGUCAGAGGAACUGGAGGACGUUAACGUUAAGGACACGGACAUUUUGAGGUAAACUACAAUUUACAGCUGUUACAACAAAAAGUAUAUUUCACAUGUAUUUAAAAUUACCUGAAUAAAAUUUAAUUGAA